AUUGAACGCUGGCGGCAGGCCUAACACAUGCAAGUCGAGCGGAUGACGGGAGCUUGCUCCUUGAUUCAGCGGCGGACGGGUGAGUAAUGCCUAGGAAUCUGCCUGAUAGUGGGGGACAACGUUUCGAAAGGAACGCUAAUACCGCAUACGUCCUACGGGAGAAAGCAGGGGACCUUCGGGCCUUGCGCUAUCAGAUGAGCCUAGGUCGGAUUAGCUAGUUGGUGGGGUAAUGGCUCACCAAGGCGACGAUCCGUAACUGGUCUGAGAGGAUGAUCAGUCACACUGGAACUGAGACACGGUCCAGACUCCUACGGGAGGCAGCAGUGGGGAAUAUUGGACAAUGGGCGAAAGCCUGAUCCAGCCAUGCCGCGUGUGUGAAGAAGGUCUUCGGAUUGUAAAGCACUUUAAGUUGGGAGGAAGGGCAGUAAGUUAAUACCUUGCUGUUUUGACGUUACCGACAGAAUAAGCACCGGCUAACUCUGUGCCAGCAGCCGCAGUAAUAC
rnacentral:rRNA from 1 species